rnacentral:rRNA from 1 species
CCUACGGGAGGCAGCAGUGAGGAAUAUUGGUCAAUGGACGAGAGUCUGAACCAGCCAAGUAGCGUGAAGGAUGACUGCCCUAUGGGUUGUAAACUUCUUUUAUAUGGGAAUAAAACGUUCCACGUGUGGGAUUUUGUAUGUACCAUAUGAAUAAGGAUCGGCUAACUCCGUGCCAGCAGCCGCGGUAAUACGGAGGAUCCGAGCGUUAUCCGGAUUUAUUGGGUUUAAAGGGAGCGUAGGUGGAUUGUUAAGUCAGUUGUGAAAGUUUGCGGCUCAACCGUAAAAUUGCAGUGGAAACUGGCAGUCUUGAGUACAGUAGAGGUGGGCGGAAUUCGUGGUGUAGCGGUGAAAUGCUUAGAUAUCACGAAGAACUCCGAUUGCGAAGGCAGUUCACUGGACUGCAACUGACACUGAGGCUCGAAAGUGUGGGUAUCAAACAGGAUUAGAUACCCGUGUAGUC